AUUGGACGCUGGCGGAAUGCUUUACACAUGCAAGUCGAACGGCAGCACGGGGCAACCUGGUGGCGAGUGGCGAACGGGUGAGUAAUAUAUCGGAACGUGCCCAAUCGUGGGGGAUAACGUAGCGAAAGUUACGCUAAUACCGCAUACGAUCUACGGAUGAAAGCGGGGGAUCGCAAGACCUCGCGCGAAUGGAGCGGCCGAUAUCAGAUUAGGUAGUUGGUGGGGUAAAGGCUCACCAAGCCAACGAUCUGUAGCUGGUCUGAGAGGACGACCAGCCACACUGGAACUGAGACACGGUCCAGACUCCUACGGGAGGCAGCAGUGGGAAUUUUGGACAAUGGGCGCAAGCCUGAUCCAGCCAUUCCGCGUGCAGGAUGAAGGCCUUCGGGUUGUAAACUGCUUUGUACGGAACGAAACGGUCUGCCCUAAUACGGUGGGCUAAUGACGGUACCGUAAGAAUAAGCACCGGCUAACUACGUGCCAGCAGCCGCGGUAA
rnacentral:rRNA from 1 species